CGCGUAGGCGGAUCGUUAAGUCAGAGGCGAAAUCCCAGGGCUCAACCCUGGAACUGCCCUUGAUACUGGCGAUCUUGAGUAUGAGAGAGGUAUGUGGAACUCCGAGUGUAGAGGUGAAAUUCGUAGAUAUUCGGAAGAACACCAGUGGCGAAGGCGACAUACUGGCUCAUUACUGACGCUGAGGCGCGAAAGCGUGGGAGCAAACA
rnacentral:rRNA from 1 species